UGAGGAAUAUUGGGCAAUGGUCGGAAGACUGACCCAGCCAUGCCGCGUGCAGGAAGACGGCCCUAUGGGUUGUAAACUGCUUUUGUACGGGAAGAAACCCUCCUACGUGUAGGAGCUUGACGGUACCGUAAGAAUAAGCAUCGGCUAACUCCGUGCCAGCAGCCGCGGUAAUACGGAGGAUGCGAGCGUUAUCCGGAAUCAUUGGGUUUAAAGGGUCCGUAGGCGGUCUUAUAAGUCAGUGGUGAAAUCUCCUAGCUCAACUAGGAAACUGCCAUUGAUACUGUAGGACUUGAAUUUUUGUGAAGUAACUAGAAUAUGUAGUGUAGCGGUGAAAUGCUCAGAUAUUACAUGGAAUACCAAUUGCGAAGGCAGGUUACUAACAAAACGAUUGACGCUGAUGGACGAAAAGCGUGGGGAGCGAACAGGAUUAGAUACCCUGGUAGUCCACGCCGUAAAACGAUGGAUACUAGCUGUUUGACGCAAGUUGAGUGGCUAAAGCGAAAGUGAUAAGUAUCCCACCUGGGGAGUACGCACGCAAGUGUGAAACUCAAAGGAAUUGACGGGGUCAUAGCUGUUUCCUG
rnacentral:rRNA from 1 species